rnacentral:Y_RNA from 1 species
GGUUGGUCCGAGUGCAGUCAUAUUUAUAACUAAUUGAUCAUAACCAGUUACAGAUUCCUUUGUUCCUUCUCCACUCCCACUGCUUCACUUGACCAGCCUUAA